UACGGAAGGGGCAAGCGUUGUUCGGAAUCAUUGGGCGUAAAGGGCGCGUAGGCGGCGUGACAAGUCACUUGUGAAAUCUCCGGGCUUAACUCGGAACGGUCAAGUGAUACUGUCGUGCUAGAGUACAGAAGGGGCAACUGGAAUUCUCGGUGUAGCGGUGAAAUGCGUAGAUAUCGAGAGGAACACCUGCGGCGAAGGCGGGUUGCUGGGCUGAUACUGACGCUGAGGCGCGAAAGCUAGGGGAGCGAACGGG
rnacentral:rRNA from 1 species